rnacentral:lncRNA from 1 species
GAUGACCAGGUGGGUUCAAAAUCCUGGGGCUGGAGAGAGGCCACGGCGCUGGGAGUGAGUGACACUGGCCCCCGCUCUGCCACUAAAAGGCGGUGUGGUGUGAACGUUUACCUUUCUGGGCCUGCUUCUGUGUCCGUAGGAUGGGGAGAGAAAUCGCUGUUAAAUUCUCUGAGCUGCUAAAAGCGCUUUUUCAGUGCAUGCUAGCAAUGUGUGUAAAAAUGACUCCAUUGUUGGCUUUUUGUGGACAUGCUCCUAAUGAACUGAAUUCAAGGUCUCCAUUGCUAUACAUACCAGGCACUUUCCUCCCUUUCAGAGAUGGAAUUUACCUCUGUUCAUCCUACGAGAAUCUGUCAAGGCAACAGAACAGGCCACUAACAUGGCAAACGAGCCCGGACCGGCUUCUCACCUCUUGCCCCGACAGGAGCAAUCUGCAGAUUCCUAGGUGUGCAGAGCAGGGCGAGGCCCGAGUCUCACCCGGCUCCCUGGCCCAGCAUCUAGGAUGCAGCAGGGUGAAAGUCAAUAAAUGUCUGAUGAAAUGCAGUGUCCCCUGUUCUCCCACAUGUACUCCUCUAGCGCAAGGUGUUUCCUCAACAGCAGGACUUAAGAUAUUCUCUAGUCCUCACAUCCAGGGAAGGGGCCUUCGGUUAAUUUACAUCACGCUUCCUUUCGGGCUUGAUUUUCACAUAUACAUAAACAUGCAAAUAUUCAAAUCAUUAACAUACUCUCAUUGUAAAAACACAGACAUAAAGAGAAACUCCCCCUUUCCUUGCCUCACUAUUCUAGUCUCCUCCUCAGAGGCAGCACUGUUAAGAGUUUGGUGUGUUUUGACUUUUUCCUGUGUUUAUAUACAUAUAUGCUUGUGUAGAAAUACAUAUUUUGUUUUGUUUUUAUUAAUAUAAACGGGACCUUACUAUUAACCGUUUUGAAGCUUGCUUUCUACACUUAAGAACACUGAACUCUUUCCAUGUCAGUGUACCUUCAUCCUGCUCAUUCUUUUUAACUGUCGCAGACAUUCCCUGAUACAGAUGAGUCAUAGUUUAAACUUUACCUGUUGAUGAACAUUUUUUUUCUAGUUUUCAUCCUAAUUUUUUUUAAAGCCAGGUUUAUUGAGGUAUACUUUAUCUGCACUAAAAUUUACUUUUUAAAAUGUGCAGAUUAAGUUUUAACACAGUCAUGUGACCACCACCACAACCAGGAUUUCCACUAUGCCAGAAAGUUCCCUUGUGUUUCUUUUCGGUCAACCCUUCCAUGAACCCUCAGCCCCAGCAAACAUGGGUCUGUG